CAGCACCCACAGAUGAGCUGCUGUCGGAGGCUCUGGCCAUAGUCCUGCUACUAGCCUGGAUAAAGUUUAAGCUGCCCGAAACAGAAAGUAAAACAGAAAACAACAAAUAGUUAAGUCCAUCCCCACCUGACCACAACAGCUCCAAGAGGAAAUGUUUUUUGACCAGACAAGUCUACAUAACCUUUUUGCCAAGCUCUUUGGACUGGGAGGAUCUGUCUUUCUCUGAAAGUCUGACUGAGUUUUUGUGUGAGGAACACAAAAGAUGUGGACAUUGUUUGUGAAACAAAGCCACAUAUAAAUGAGCAUAAUCCGGAAGAAACAGCAAAAAAAACCUGGAAAUUAGAUCACAAGUGAAACUGUGGCUGCAACUGUCAUUUUCUCUACCCCUGACAACUCUCCACUUGAUCGGCUGUAACUUAAGUUCGUUAGUGACUGGGUACUGCUGCAUCCAAGGACCAAAUUAAAAUAUCAAAUUCUU